UACGAAGGGGGCUAGCGUUGUUCGGAAUUACUGGGCGUAAAGGGCGCGUAGGCGGUACUUCAAGUCAGGCGUGAAAGCCCCGGGCUCAACCUGGGAACCGCGCUUGAGACUGGAGAGCUAGAGUUCGGGAGAGGAUGGUGGAAUUCCCAGUGUAGAGGUGAAAUUCGUAGAUAUUGGGAAGAACACCGAUGGCGAAGGCAGCCAUCUGGACCGACACUGACGCUGAGGCGCGAAAGCGUGGGGAGCAAACAGG
rnacentral:rRNA from 1 species